GAUGAACGCUGGCGGCGUGCCUAAUACAUGCAAGUCGAACGCUGAAGGAAGGAGCUUGCUCUUUCCGGAUGAGUUGCGAACGGGUGAGUAACGCGUAGGUAACCUGCCUGGUAGCGGGGGAUCACUAGUGGAAACGAUAGCUAAUACCGCAUAACAGUAGAUGUUGCAUGACAACUAUUUGAAAGUGGCAAUUGCUCCACUACCAGAUGGACCUGCGUUGUAUUAGGUAGUUGGUGAGGUAACGGCUCACCAAGGCGGCGUUACAUAGCGGACCUGAGAGGGUGAUCGGCCGCACUGGGACGGAGACAGGGCCCAGACGCCCACGGGUGGCAGCAGGAGUGAAACUUCGGCAAGGGACGGAAGUCUGACCGAGCAACGCCGCGGGAGUGAAGAAGGGUGUCGGAUCGUAAAGCUCGGUUGUAAGAGAAGAACGAGUGUGAGAGUGGAAAGUUCACACUGUGACGGUAUCGUACCAGAAAGGGACGGCUAACUACGUG
rnacentral:rRNA from 1 species